GGGCCUAUAGCUCAGCUGGUUAGAGCGCACGCCUUAUAAGCAUGAGGUCAGCGGUUCGAUCCACUUAGGCCCACCA
rnacentral:tRNA from 1 species